AAUAUUUUCUGACUGGAUAAUUAAAGCUCACAGCAUCUACCUGUCUGUAGUGGAUUUUCCCACAUCUUAAAUAAUCUAAUCUCAUUUAAUGUCUCUGUUUUUAGUCUGUAUAGUUUAUCUCCCCACGAAUACACUCAAAGUAGUCUUAAAAUAAAAUCCAUAAAACAGUUCAAGAUGACAUACUUUUUAUUUGCUCGUUUAAUGCCAGUUGCCCUCUUUCUCUGUGCGUCACUCAUUCGCUUAUACUCAGGCAAAAAGUACCCAUUUGUAUACUAGUCUAGUGUAUUUUUCCCUCUCUCUCUAUGUCUCACACAUACAGACCAACACACAGUCAUGUAUAUGCUCAUUAAUGCUGUUCAACCUGAUGAUCAAAUUUCCAAGCACCACCUGAACGCCUCAUCUGUUUUUAACCCAUCACUGGACCAACUGUCGUCAUUCCGCUUUGCUCUCUGCUGUGGAACUUGACUGACAUCUGUGCUUUGCCUGGUAGGUGUGCACAUACUGUAAGAGAAGUAGACCAAAAUAAAAA